UGAGGAAUAUUGGUCAAUGGACGCAAGUCUGAACCAGCCAUGCCGCGUGCAGGAUGAAGCAUCUAUGGUGUGUAAACUGCUUUUAUACGGGAAGAAACCCUGCUACGUGUAGCAGCUUGACGGUACCGUAAGAAUAAGGAUCGGCUAACUCCGUGCCAGCAGCCGCGGUAAUACGGAGGAUCCAAGCGUUAUCCGGAAUCAUUGGGUUUAAAGGGUCCGUAGGCGGCUUUAUAAGUCAGUGGUGAAAGCCCAUCGCUUAACGAUGGAACGGCCAUUGAUACUGUAGAGCUUGAAUUACUUGGAAGUAACUAGAAUAUGUAGUGUAGCGGUGAAAUGCUUAGAUAUUACAUGGAAUACCAAUUGCGAAGGCAGGUUACUACAAGUGGAUUGACGCUGAUGGACGAAAGCGUGGGGAGCGAACAGG
rnacentral:rRNA from 1 species